GUGGGAUAAGGGGGUGGUCCCCAUAGUUUGUAAAUGAAAAUUAUAUACUACCCUUUCAUAAAUCAAUCCUCAAUUGUGAGAAGACUUCAGAUUCCAUAUUUUCUUGAAAGGAUAAUAACGUAGAAUUACUUAAAGAAAGUGAUCAAGUCUUUUAACUGAAUCGCGGAGGAAAAGUACAAGGAACAACAUAGAGGUUAUAGCCACGUCAGUAAUCUCCGGGUAAUAGCAAAUCAGUAGUUUCUUCAAAGUGGAGUAAGGAGGAAGAAGAGGAGUUCAUGGCAAAUAAGAUUGGUGAAGCCCGAGACCUAAGUUAUGAUUAACUUGAGAAGCGACAAGGUAUAGACCCUCGAUUUGGUGGUCCUCCAGCUUAGGAUUUCUACUCAGCUAUCUUGGAGAGCUCCAUUGUUCCGGAGCCUAAACUUUUGGUACAGAUCUUUUGAUGUAUAUAUAUAUAUAUAUUUAUCCAGGGGUACGGCGGGGCCCUGUCCCGUCAUAUUUCACUAUCGAUACUCUUAGAGGUCUGUAGACAUAUGUGUGGGUUGUGUAUCCGUUUUGUUCAGCUGUGUCUAUACGAUGUGCUAUGGAUAUGUUCGUCUGUAGUGGCAACCUUGUCGGCUUGCUUAUGGUAUUGAUAUAUAGUGGCAGCCUUGUCGGCUUGCGUAUUAUAUUGUGUUUUGAUUAGUUGUGACUCCUCAGGAGAUAGGUUAUCUGGAUAUAUACGUAUG